CGCUAUCACUCCUACGGGAGGCAGCAGUGGGGAAUAUUGCACAAUGGGCGCAAGCCUGAUGCAGCCAUGCCGCGUGUGUGAAGAAGGCCUUCGGGUUGUAAAGCACUUCAGUAGGGAGGAAGGUAGUGUAGUUAACACCUGCACUAUUUGACGUUACCUACAGAAGAAGCACCGGCUAACUCCGUGCCAGCAGCCGCGGUAAUACGGAGGGUGCGAGCGUUAAUCGGAAUUACUGGGCGUAAAGCGCAUGCAGGCGGCCUGUUAAGUCAGAUGUGAAAGCCCGGGGCUUAACCUCGGAAUUGCAUUUGAAACUGGCAGGCUAGAGUCUUGUAGAGGGGGUAGAAUUUCAGGUGUAGCGGUGAAAAUGCGUAGAGAUCUGAAGGAAUACCAGUGGCGAAGGCGGCCCCCUGGACAAAGACUGACGCUCAGAUGCGAAAGCGUGGGGAGCAAACAGGAUUAGAUACCCUGGUAG
rnacentral:rRNA from 1 species